GAGUCGUGCUGGUUUCCUGCCUCGCUGCCCACUUUCUUAUUCUCAGGGACAAGAGAGCUCUUGCGCUUUCAGAAAGACAUCCUUAAUGAGCAGCCAGCUUUCUUCCACUCCUUUGUCUCUAAGGACAGCUUCCCAGGAGAUCUCAUCCAACAAUUUCUUAAACAGCCUGAAGUUCACGCUCCCAACAUUCAGAGUCCUGACCCUGCUCUUUAUCAGGCCUGUAUUCCUCAAGAUCACAAACUCAACCAGAGACAGUUGCUGCAGCCCAGGCUGCCUCCAAUCUUAACAUCUUUAAUGAUCUUCUCCACAUUGAUGAGCAACAAGCCCAGCAGUGCUUUACCUCUGGUUGGUCUGUCCAAUGCUUGAACCAGAAACUUGUCAUCCAUAAUCCAGUAAUCUCCUGGAUCUCUUGCAGCUCACCAUGUGGUUUUCCCAGCAGAUAUCUAGGUGGUUUAAACCCCCCAUCAAGAUGAGUGCCCGUGAGCAUGAUGCCUCCUGCAGCUGGAGGAAGGCCUUGUCAGCAGGCUCUCCCUGAUCAGGUGGUCUGUAGUAAACCCCUACCACCAGGUGCCCUUUAUUAGUCUUAUCGCCAGUUCUAAUGCCCAGGCUCUCAACUUGCUCCUCACAUUUUCUCAGAGGGUCUUCCUGUCAGUCUAUCCUCUCUUUAACAUAGAGAGCAACUCCCUCGCUCUUCCUACAUAGCUUAUCCCUUCUAAAAAGGAGAUAUCCCUCUAUUGUGCUAUUCCAUGUAUGGGAGUCAUCCCACCACAUUUUCUUGAUUGCAACCAGAUCAUAGUCUUUUGAGCAAUUACUUAUCACUACUAGAAUAGUGAACAUGCAUUCUUUUUAAAACAAUCAUAGAGUAGCUGAGGUUGGAUGGGACCUUACAGAUCAUCAUCUUCCUACUCCUCUGCUGUGGGCAGGGCUGCCACCCACCAAUUCAGGCCCCAUCCUGCCUGACCUUGAAAGCCUCCAGGGAUGGAGCAUCAACAUCAUCACUGAGCAGCCUGUGCCAGUGCCUUACUGCCCUCUAAUUAAAGAAUUUUCUCUUAACACCUAAGCUAAAUCUCCCCCCUUUUAGUUUAAAACAAUUCCUUCUUGUCCUAUCUCAGUUAAACCACGUAAAAGUCAGCCUCCCUUCCGCUAGUAGAAGGCUGCAAUGAGGUCUCCCCAGAGCCUUCUCUUCUCCAGGUUGAAUAAGUCCAGCUUCCUCAACCUUGCCUCAAAGGAGGGGUGCUACAGCUCUUUGAUCAUCUUUGUGGCCCUCCUCUGAAUCUGCUUCGAAAGCUUUCUUAUGUUGGGAAUCCCAGGCCUGUAUGCAGUACUCCAGAUGGGGCAAAACAGGGAGGGAACAGUCACCUCCCACCCUGGGGUUUUCAUUUUAUUUUUAUUUUUUCUUCUUUUUUCCCCCGUCACAUUAAGGUACAGAUUGUAUCAUGCUGGGCAAUUGCAGAGCUGCAGCUCCCCUGAAGAAUAGAGGAUCAAGCAUAGACUGCAAUUGAUGGAAAAUGUAUGUUAAGCCUCAUCAUCAGACCUCUAAAGGAGAUUCCAUGUCCACUCCAGUUUUGAUACACGAACAUAGUCUAUAGAAGUGUCUUCAGCUCUUUCAAAAUGUAUUUUUUUUUUCUCCAUCUACUGUGUCUCAUUACUUCUCCAACUUCUCUGUGAGAGAGCUCAGAAUAAGAAGAAAAUACUUUUAAGUAUGGCAAAUUCAGGUAAUACUGUGAUUUCUCUGGGGGUUGACUAUGAUCAGAUGCCAGAAAAUAUACCAAAUGUAUUUUUAAGGAAAUACCCCUGCCAAAUUUAAGGAUGACAUCAAACCAGUGCCAUACAGAAGGUCCUGAACAGACUGAAUGAAUGAACCUUGUGAAACCAAGCAAUUUCAAAUGCCAAGUGCUCGAAGGAAGAAGCCCCUGCAAUGGUAUGGGCUGGGGACUAAUAUAUGUGGACUGGCCCUGUCAAGUUAGCUCUGGGGCCUAGUGGCAACAAGUUACUCCUCAGCUAGCAAAAGUGGCCAGUAUCUCCCUGGGCUAUGUGAGCAGAAGAAUGGGCAGAUUUUUUUAUUUUCUCUUCUUUUUCGCUAAUAUACUGACAAAUUUUACCUAUGUUAAGAUUAUCACCUCCUCUUUUCUGCCGAAUAGAUCACAAGAAAUGCUUAGAUGUGAGAAUUUAUAUCCAUGUUUUUGUGUUGUUCCAUUUUCUCUAUAUGUCUUGACUUCCAUUUGUUGCCCACUGACAUCCUGUAAAAUUAAAAAAUGUGGAAGACUGUUUUUUGAUCAUUUAAAAUAAGUCUUUAUUAGUAUGGGUAUUUUAAUUCAGUACUGGUAUUUCAUGACAAGUUCCAUGUGUCCUUUCUCUUGAAAAGGCCACUUGUUCCGCUUAAUGAUAGCAGAAUAUGAUUGUUUUCUGUCAAGAGAAGCAAGCAAACAAACAAACAACAACAACAACAAAAUGACUUUCACUGGAAAGGGUUUUCUUUUGAUAAUUUUUUUUUAAUAUAAAUGAGAACUAGUCUACUGAAGUUUUAAGAUAAUAAUUAAUUAAGUUUCAUUUGAAUUUUCAGUGCCCACAAUUUGAAUUAUGAAGAAAAUUGAUGGAAUAUUUUUCAUAUUUUUAAAGGAUAUGUGUUUCUAUUUUAGCAUGUAUAUAACCAAAAAGGAUUUUAUUUUAUUUUUUUUUGCAUUUUUUGAUUUAAGGACUGCUUAAUUUUUUUUCUUGUGUGUUUGUUUGAAACACUUUUAAAGUUAGCUUGAAAGGAUUAAAAUGUGUUGUCUUAAGAAUUUCAAAAGUGUGCCUACAACACUUGCUCAAUAAAGUCACAUUAUAUCAGAAAUCUAAAAAAAAAAAAAUCAUGUGAAAGGGCCACAUCAAAUGUCCAAAGUGGAAAGACGUUAUGCAGGAUUGGUGUACCCACACACUUAAAAUCAAUCAAAAAACUAGAAUAGAUGUACUGCUGUGCUUUUGCCUCUCUUUGGUUACUGCUGAAAAUUACUGAGACGUUAGGUACUCAUCUCUCUUCACCUAUUUUGAUUCAAGUAUGUGGAUGCUUCAGUUAAUCAUAGACGUCUUAGCCAUUAUAUACCAUUGAAGAAACAAAAUGAUGCAACUAGAUGAUUUGUAUUAUAGAAUUGCUUGUAUUUACUGAAAAUUUUCAAGUAAUUUAAAAUUAAGUUUUGGUUAGUAUUUUCAAAGGUCAGUUUAUAAAAGAAGUACUGAAUUCAUCAGCACAUGAUGAUUGUGAAGUCUUUUCCUCAUUCCCAGGGAAUAAAAAGCCUAAAAAAAAAUAGCAGAAUGUUUUCACCAUGUAAUGCAUAGAAGAAGCUUUGCCCUUCACUCUGCUGUGUCAUGAUUGACAUAUGAUGAGAUAUUCAUGGAUUGCUGCUUAAAAUCUCGCUCAGCCUUGUGUGUGCCUGUGUCAGCUCUAGCAAUUGUGUGGCUAUCUAACGAAGUCAGCCUAUUGAUCUGUUAGAAACAAACAUUCAUAGAAUCAUAGAAUCGUUUUAGUUGGAAGGGACCCUAAAAUGUUAUCUAGCCCAACUCCCCUACAAUGAAAAUGGACAUGCGCAGCUAGAUCAGGUUCCUCAGAUCCCCAUCCAGCCUAACCCUGAGCAUCUCCCAGGACAGGACAUCCACCAUAUCCCUGGGCAACCUGUUCCUGUGCCUCACCACCUUCGUCGUAAAAAAUCCUUUUUGCCUUAUAUCCAAUCUAAAUCUCCCCUCUUUUUGUUUGAAACCAUUUCCCCUUGUCCUAUCACAGCAGACUCUGCUGAAGAGUCUGUUGCCUUCUUUCUUACAGCCCCCCUUUAGAUGCUGAAAGGCUGCUCUCGGGUCUCCCUGGAGCCCCCUCUUCUCCAGACUGUACAGCCCCAGCUCUCUCUGCCUGUCCUUGUAGGAAAGGUUUUCCAUCCCUUGGGUCAUUUUUGUGGCCUUCCUCUGGAUGUGCUCUAUUGGGUCCAUGUUUCUCCUGUACUGAGAACUAUACAUCUCAACACAGUACUCCAGGUGAGGCCUCAUCAGUGCAGUGUAGAGGGGCAGGAUCACUUCCAUUAGCCUGCUGGCCAUUCUUCUUUUGAUGCAGCCAAGGAUACACUUGGCUUUCUGGGCUGCGAAGUGCACAUUGCUGGUAUGUGCUGCUAGGGUUUCACAGGGAGUAUUACAGUGUAGUUUUAGCA
ensembl:lncRNA